GUGUGUGUCGACUGGAGCAAAGGAAAACAAACCCAAACCCUCAAGUUCACAAAUUCAGUAAAUUGAAGGAGAAUUCUUGGUCCAAAUCAUUGCAUGUAUACAUAGAAACGUUCAUCUAAGCUAGACAAACGAAUGGGGUGAAAGAGGAAGACGCAAGCCACUCCGGAACGCAAUCCAAACUCGAUAAAGGUAAAGCGACUUGUUAAAAUGGCGUUACUUGGAUCGAACACAUUCAUCAUGCACGCUUCCGUGAAGAAAUUAGUCUUGGUCAAAACUUUUGUUAAAUGCUUUUCUUUUGUUUUUAAACGGGUCUUUUUGUAAGUCAUAUAAUCCGAUAGCC